UUUGGCACUUGCACAAUAUU
rnacentral:miRNA from 1 species